AUGAAAGAAAAAAAGAAAAAAACGAAAAAGAAGGACGCAAUUGCAUGAUCUCCGGACUUCUGAAGACUUCAAAGAACCGCCAGUGCACGAUCUCCAUACUGCCGGUAACUGCAGCGACAACGUCGGGUUCAAAUGGAUCAGAAGAAGCAAACGACAAAGGAACAAAAAGGAGAAGAAAGAAACAAAGACGAGCAGAGCAAAAUUGAAUCAAAAAGAAGGAGAAAAUUGAAGCAUCUUAUCGGCAGACGUGGGAUUUGCCAUCUGUAUAACCCGCUUACCGAUUUCGGUAGCAAUCCUGAAAGAAAACUCAUACGGGUGGAAUAAAAAAACAUAUCGAUGCGGACCUGUACAUCCACGCGUUAAGGCCGGUACUUCUCAAGGGGUUGCCCCUUUUGUCUUUCACGAAAGAUUCUGUUGCAAACAGAAAGAUUCUGUUGCCUUGGAAAAAUCAUUUUAGAAGGUAUCUGAGCAGUUAUGCUUCCAGGAAACCCCUUUGUACUUUUCCAUCGGAACUAAAGGUUUUGCCGGUUGGCUUCUAAGAUGCUUUGGUAUAUUCUGACGCAAUGCAAUGGAAGCGAAAGGAAUGAACAAAGUAAUUGAAGACCAAAAAAGUAAAGAAAAACUAAUAGAGUGGGUUAGGGUAUGAGAAGUUUGUAGCGUCUGACAAACUAAUUCAAAGAGGGCGAUACUGUUUUCAGUGCCACUGUAG